rnacentral:rRNA from 1 species
UACGGGGGGGGCAAGCGUUGUUCGGAAUUACUGGGCGUAAAGGGCUUGUAGGUGGCCAACUAAGUCAGACGUGAAAUCCCUCGGCUUAACCGGGGAACUGCGUCUGAUACUGGAUGGCUUGAGUUUGGGAGAGGGAUGCGGAAUUCCAGGUGUAGCGGUGAAAUGCGUAGAUAUCUGGAGGAACACCGGUGGCGAAGGCGGCAUCCUGGACCAAGACUGACACUGAAAAGCGAAAGCCAGGGGAGCAAACGGG